rnacentral:misc_RNA from 1 species
AAGUCGUAACAAGGUUUCCGUAGGUGAACCUGCGGAAGGAUCAUUAACACGUAUCCACGUAUACACCCCUGUGGUCCUGCAUGCGGCUCUAUAUAUGAGUGGUAGAAACUACUUUGCAACCUGAGCGGUUGCAAUGAAAGUUUUCUGAUUGGAUGCUAAACUAACCUGCGUGGAUAGUUGUACUCAAUUAUGACAACAAGUAAUACUAGUUUUCUGCGAGAAAACAGCUCUGUAUAGUAGACGUUUUAACCAAACCAUUACCAAAUUUGACUAAUAUAGAAAUAAGUAUGAUGCGCUCUGCUUUAUUUCGACAUACGAAACGAUAACAACUCUUAACAACGGAUAUCUUGGUUCUC